rnacentral:rRNA from 1 species
GAUUAACGCUGGCGGCGUGCAUAACACAUGCAAGUCGAGCGAUGAAACUUUAAUGACCCCUUCGGGGAGAAUUAAAGCGGAUUAGUGGCGAACGGGUGAGUAACGCGUGAGUAACCUGCCUUACACAAGGGGAUAGCCUUUGGAAACGAAGAAUAAUACCCUAUAAAACCAUAAAAGCACAUGCAAUUAUGGUCAAAGUGAUAGCGGUGUAAGAUGGACUUGCGUCUGAUUAGCUAGUUGGUGAGAUAAAAGCCCACCAAGGCAACGAUCAGUAGCCGGCUUGAGAGAGUGUACGGCCACAUUGGGACUGAGACACGGCCCAGACUCCUACGGGAGGCAGCAGUGGGGAAUUUUGCACAAUGGGGGAAACCCUGAUGCAGCGACGCCGCGUGAUUUAGAAGGCCUUCGGGUUGUAAAAAUCUUUUGUAUAGGAAGAAAAUGACAGUACUAUACGAAUAAGGUCCGGCUAAUUACGUG